rnacentral:misc_RNA from 1 species
CCGAGUUUACAAACUCCCAAGCCCUUUGUGAACCUUACCGUAUCGUUGCUUCGGCGGGACCGCCCCGGCGCCCUCGGGCCCGGAACCAGGCGCCCGCCGGAGGCCCCAAACCCUCAUGUCUUUAGUGGUUUUCUCCUCUGAGUGACACAUAAACAAAUAAAUAA